GUUCUAAAGACAUGGCCGAGGCAUAAAUAUAAAUCAAUGAUGAGGUCGUAGCAGCUCAAGUUACCUGGAGCAAGAUGAGCAGCAAGCACAAGUGGACGAGGUUGCUCCUAAUAUGUCUGAUUGUACUUUUGAAUCACACAGCAAGUCCCUUGGGUAUUUAAGAUAAACUAAACAAAAACACUCAAUUACCUAAUUAGUUUUUCUUUAGCUAAACAUGUGACACUGAGACCUUUGGAGUUAGCAGAGAUUCGAUCACUGCAGAACUCGAUUUCCAAGGGACGAUCGGUAUCAAGUGGCUUGGCUGCCAUUACUGGUUUCGCCCUGGGUUUGGGAAAAGCACUCACUGGAGUCUUCAUCUACGAUGUCAUCACUGCCAAUAUCACCGAAUCAGAGGAUACUGUUCAACCUGUAUAAUCAAACACUGGUUCCUUAAGGGAAGUCUGUUUCAACACUGGAAGCUCUAAUUCGGAUAUAACCUGCCUAGUUUACUAUACAAAUAAC
rnacentral:lncRNA from 1 species